GAUGAACGCUAGCUACAGGCUUAACACAUGCAAGUCGAGGGGAAACGGCAUUGAGUGCUUGCACUCUUUGGACGUCGACCGGCGCACGGGUGAGUAACGCGUAUCCAACCUUCCCAUUACUGUGGGAUAACCUGCCGAAAGGCAGACUAAUACCGCAUAGUCUUCGAUGACGGCAUCAGAUUUGAAGUAAAGAUUUAUCGGUAAUGGAUGGGGAUGCGUCUGAUUAGCUUGUUGGCGGGGUAACGGCCCACCAAGGCUACGAUCAGUAGGGGUUCUGAGAGGAAGGUCCCCCACAUUGGAACUGAGACACGGUCCAAACUCCUACGGGAGGCAGCAGUGAGGAAUAUUGGUCAAUGGACGGAAGUCUGAACCAGCCAAGUAGCGUGCAGGAUGACGGCCCUAUGGGUUGUAAACUGCUUUUGUAUGGGGAUAAAGUUAGGGACGUGUCCCUAUUUGCAGGUACCAUAAGAAUAAGGACCGGCUAAUUCCGUG
rnacentral:rRNA from 1 species